rnacentral:rRNA from 1 species
GUGCCAGCAGCCGCGGUAAUACGGAGGGGGCUAGCGUUGUUCGGAAUUACUGGGCGUAAAGCGCGCGUAGGCGGCUUUGUAAGUCAGAGGUGAAAUCCCGGGGCUCAACUCCGGAACUGCCUUUGAAACUGCAUCGCUUGAAUGUCGGAGAGGUGAGUGGAAUUCCGAGUGUAGAGGUGAAAUUCGUAGAUAUUCGGAAGAACACCAGUGGCGAAGGCGGCUCACUGGACGACUAUUGACGCUGAGGUGCGAAAGCGUGGGGAGCAAACAGGAUUAGAAACCCUUGUAGUCC